AACGAAAAAAAAAAAAUUAUAUGUAAUGAAAACAUUAUCAUUAAUGUUUUAACCAUAAUUAAAAAGAUUUUCUCUCCAUAUGGAAAAAAUAUUUUUUAUUAUAUUUGUUCUAUAUAUACAUGUCUUUCUAACUGGAAUACUCAACAAAAUUUGGCUAGAGGAAUUUUAGGUAGUAUGAAACUGAAGUUUUUAAGUAUUUUUAUAAUACAGAUUUUAAAGGAUGAUUAUGAAAUAAUUUUAAAUUUGAAUAACUACGAAUGAAAUUAAAUCGCUAUUUUGUCAUUGAGCUUAAACUUCAUUGAUGUGGAGUUAUGAAGUGAAUUUUCAUACAACUUUGGUCCAUCUCUGAUAGAAACCUCACAUCAACCACUUGCUGUGUCUCCAUUGUGGGGUAACAGUGAGGAUCUUACAAAGAAAAGCAGAUCUUUUAGUCUGCCGUUGUGUUUCCACUGUGUUGAAAAUGCUAGUGCCGUUGUGUUUCAGUGUCAUGCUUAAUUAUAAACAACUUACAUCUCCACAUGGUAUUGGGUACCUCACAUCAACCACUUGCUUAUGUCUCAAUAUGCAACUAUAGCCAUAAGCUCAUAAAGAACAAUAUUAAAAUUUAUUUAUUUCAUUUACAUAUAUUGAACUAAGACAAAUGAGACCAUGGCCUUCAAAUCUUCAUCCGUAUAGUUUAAUUAUUUAAAUCGAUAACAUUUAUAUAAAUAUAAUAAAGUUGAUGCUCAAAAAUAAAUUUAUUUAAAUGUGAUAAGUGAUACUCUAUUAUAUUUUUUUUUCCUAUUUUUCAAUUUUACUCACAUUUUAUUAUUGUCACUAUUUAACAU
rnacentral:misc_RNA from 1 species